UACGCAGGGGGCUAGCGUUGCUCGGAAUCACUGGGCGUAAAGCGCACGUAGGCGGCUUUCUAAGUCAGGGGUGAAAUCCUGGAGCUCAACUCCAGAACUGCCUUUGAUACUGGAGAGCUUGAGUCCGGGAGAGGUGAGUGGAACUCCGAGUGUAGAGGUGAAAUUCGUAGAUAUUCGGAAGAACACCAGUGGCGAAGGCGGCUCACUGGCCCGGUACUGACGCUGAGGUGCGAAAGCGUGGGGAGCAAACAGG
rnacentral:rRNA from 1 species